rnacentral:tRNA from 1 species
UCCCUUGUAGCUCAGAUGGUAAAGUAUCCGCCUGCAGUGCAGGAGACCUGGGUUCAAUUCCUAGGUUGGGAA